AAGCAAAAGCAAAAGCUAAAAAUAAAUAAAUAAAAACGGUCUCCUAUCUAUCCAAGCAAGGAAAAGAGACCAAAGCAGAGAGAUUGUACCCUGCGAAAACACAGAAACAGAACGGCACUCCCUCUUCUCUAUCACACAUUCUUGACCGUACGAUCCAGUCAACUUUCAUACAACCAACGGCUCUGAUCACAUCACCUUCACCAACUGUUAUGGGAGCAUUUUCCGUGUUCAUAUUUUAAAGAGCAGAUAUAGGUGGUUGAGGCAUAAUCAGAUGCAGUCCCAUCCUGGAGAAACUUUCCAUGUGUUAAAAAAGGAAGGAGAUGACUGCACUGGUUCACGUUACACAGGUCAUUUGAAUAGCUCUCUUCAGGAACCAAUUGAAGUUUCUUCUUCUUCGAAUGAGGAUAACUCUGAUGAUACAUGGGAUAUAGAUGACCAAUCAAUUGAAGAUUCCUCUAAACAGUUGGUUCUUUAUGACCCUUUGGCUAAUGAUGCUGGUGAAAUUGAACCUGUUCCUCAACCGAUCCUGUCCCACCAUCCAUUUAGAAGAUACUCAGACCUGAAUGUGCCUUCUAGAGUUUUGCCAUCUGUAGGAGCUUUUACUGUGCAAUGUGCCAAAUGUUUCAAGUGGAGGCUCAUCCCAACAAAACAGAAGUAUGAAGAAUUACGUGAACAUAUUCUGGAAGAGCCUUUUUUUUGUGAAACUGCUCGUGAGUGGCGGCCUGAUAUAUCAUGUGAUGAUCCAACAGACAUUGAUCAAGAUGGGAGUAGGCUGUGGGCAAUUGAUAAACCUAACAUUGCUCAGCCCCCUCCCGGGUGGCAAAGGUUGCUGAGAAUCAGGGGCGAAGGAAGUACCAAAUUUGCAGAUGUGUACUAUCAAGCACCGUCAGGCAAGAGACUUCGCUCAAUGGUGGAAAUCCAAAAGUACUUAAUUGAACAUCCAGAGUAUAUGAGAGAUGGUAUAACUCUCACACAGUUUUCAUUUCAAAUACCAAAGCCUCUGCAGGAAAACUAUGUGAGAAAAAAGCGUCCUCGUUUAUCAGCUUCAUGUCUUGAACCUGGUGAAGACAUAAAUCUGGAGGAAUGAGGUUCUGUAUUCAGACUCGACUAACUUUUGUCUUCUCACUUCUCAGCUUAGGUGCACUCUUGCUGCUCCAUGUAAGGAGUAUAUUUUGUGGUCGAUCCAUGAAACCCAACACUAUUCAGGUUGGAUUGAUUCUGUAUUUAGAUCAUCUGGGUCUAUGUGGUUCUGGAACGUGGGGGCUGUCUCAUCGGAAUUGGUAAUGGGGUGAGGCAUUGGAUAAACCAAUCUAACCUAUGCAUAUAAAUUGUUAUGUGUGUUGAGAAACUCUUACCACUUGUUUCUUUAGGUGGAGUCCUUAUCAUGAAUUAAUGAGUAUGUAGUGUUUUUUAUCUAAUUUCCUCGUGGCCAUGGUUUUAGACUACCUGGAAAGAAUUCUUCAUGGGUGGGUUGGUUAUAACUUUUAAUUAAUUAAUGGGUGGUCCUGGGGAGAAUUAUUUGAGAAUCUGUUGCACGACUGGAUUAGCCUCGUGGUCAGACUGCUGGCUUAACCUGCUUGGGAUUUUGUACUGAAUUCAAGAUAGCAUUCCUGAAGGCAUCAUCUGCUGCAUAAAGAAUUCAUGUGAAAACUUACUAAUGACAUAUCCUUGUUUUUGCUGCAGCAAAUCCCCUUAAAUGGGUUGGUCCAGGUGAUUGUACAGAACUCCAGCUUGGCCGGCCAGCAAUCCUACCUCCACCCUUGAUUCAGUCCUCUGCUUAUCUUCCUUUCUACUGGCCAGUAAAGAAGAAAGCAAGGACACCAUCGAAACAGAGUCACAGGACUAAUCCAGUGUGUAAUCUGGAUGAACCAAAAGUUGAAGAGCCUGAUCAAUCUAGAAAUAGUGGUUGUGAUUUGUGAGGCUCGCUCCAGAUCCUUUUGGUUGACUCAAUGUCACAGUUUGUGUCUUGCUUCCAAAAUGUCACGCUUUGUGUCUUGCUUCCAUGUUUUACCUUGCAAUGCUAUUUGUUUUUUACCACUAGGUUCUGAUGAACCUUUCACAUACAAAAGUGGUAAAAUGGGCGGGGGAGGAUGCAUGGUUAGCUGGAAUGUAUCUUUGUUAUGGGAUGCUAAAAAAUCAUAAUGAAGGAAAUCUAAAUGUUUGGUUCUUUUUA